AUUAAAAUUAAUAAAUUAAUAUAAAAUA
rnacentral:tRNA from 1 species